CUCUUUUAUUUUCCCUUUCUCACGACUGCUUGGCUUCACUCUCCACUACCUUCGGUCCGCCCGAUUCGAAACACAGUAGGACACAAACUUCUGCAAAUUGGAUUUCAAGAUGGACUUGAGGUUGGAAGCCAACUUGGAGAUGGAAUUGCAACUGGGUUUUCGACACAAAAGAGUUCCCCAACAUAAAGCUUGCAAUCAGCUUCAUCUUCCUAUUCCGUGAAGAGAAAUUGGUGAUUUUGAUGAGAGAAUUGGCCUAGGUUCACGGUGAUUUGUACCGGGCUCAAGUCGGACCAGGUGAUAGUAGUCACAGCAUUCUAAAGGUGGCCGGAGACAGGAACAACGACUAUACUGUAGCCAAGUAUCAGAACUCUAGGAUUUAAACUCAAGGGUGAGGCCUUCUUUUAUUUACCCAUUGGCUAUUUUGAGAAUAGGCGUUUUAGAAUGAAGAUCGGGACUGGCUCUUUUUGGCUAUGGUGCUUUGAAAGGAUGCAGGGGGUAAUUAUAUGUGGUGUUUAAGUGAAGUUGACAGAGUUCCUGUUAUCAUUUUUAUGUUGAAUCACGACCCUAUAUGGAAGCAAGGUCUGGAUGGUGAUCCACAAAGGGUCCUCUGUCAGUUCCGGCUUAUUAAACUGCCGAAACUUGAGGAUGAUAUCGGCACCCUAAGGCUCGUAGUUUCAAAGUUCUGAAAACAGUAUUGGCACCGUAAGGCACCGCCACCAGACAUUUGAAAGUAAUUUCAGCACCCUAAGGCACGCCGAACGAAGCUCUGACACAGUAUUGGCACCGAAAGGCACCGCCACCGGAGCUUUGAAAAUGGUAAAACCAUAAAGAGUUGCAGACGUACUCCCCACCUUUGAUUCCUGUGGAACACGCUGCGGCUUCUCCUCUGUCUCCUACUCUCCUUUGCUUUCCUUCUCUUUCUGCUUCUGUUUUUCUUUUUCUUUUCGGCACAGCCCUCUUGGCUUUUUAUAUAAUGCACUGAUGGUAUGAUUGAGUUUUAGAGAGACUCUUGUAUUUGAUAUGCAUUGAAACACCAAAAGAUAGCUGUAAUCUUUAUCAUGGAAGCUCCCCCGUACGGGUUGCACUCAAACUCUAGUAUUUGAUAAGCUUGUGAGCAAAUAUGACGUGGGCCUUUGGCUUUCAUAGA